rnacentral:lncRNA from 1 species
UGGAUGUCAAAACCCUGCAGCGAAACAGAGAAACUGACAGACAAGACUUUGAAGAUUUCAGAGAUCAUGUUGCCACAAAUUUUCAAACCUUGCAGAAAACCUUGGGCGAACUACAGGGCUCUUUGAACAACUUCAUCGCAGGUUUUCCCAAACCCAGGGAAACUCCUCCCAACCCCCAAGAUGUUGCACAAGGUAGUGGCCAACAGCAAACACCCCAAGGUCCAACUCACGCACCAGCCACGGUCCUCCAAACUCCUCCUACAGUUGGAUCUGCCACAUUAGUG